AGAGCCUGGGGCGGGGGCCUGAGGUGGCGUGGACCGCUUCUUCCCCCGCGGUCGCCCGGGCUGGCGCUCGCGUGCCCAUCGCUGAGAUAGUGGGAGCUCCAGGUCCGAGAGGAGCCGCACCGUCGGGUUGGAGAUCGCGCGCAAGGGUGGCCUCUGGGUCUGCAUCUGCCCCGCAUCGGCCACAGGAAAAGCCUGGUCCCUAGGCACGGUCGUGGUUCGAGCUUUUCGUUCUCUCGCACAUUGAGGUAUUCGCUCAGCCCACCACGUUGUCCUCGGGGUUAUUAGGCCCCAGUCACAAGCCCUAUGAUGUUUUCAGACUUCCCAGGUGGAGAUAAAGGAAAAUUUUACUAUUUCUGCAGAACUUCUGUUGAUGUACAGCAUUGUAUUUAGCAACUUCUGUGUAGAUCUGAAAAUAAAUACAUUACCAAUUGUUAGUUGCGUUUUUAUUAAUAUAAAUCUUAGAGUACUUGAUUUUGCUGUUAGCUUUACUUAGGUAAAUUAUGUGGCACUCUAGCAUUUUUGUUGUUGCAUGUUCCAUUGAACUUUGCUCUGUGUUUUCCAUUUAUUCCAAAUUCAAAAUAGACUGUAACUUCCCAAUUUAUUCUAUGUUCCCAAGGCACCAGGCAUAGUAGGUGUUUUAUGAAUACCUGUUGACUUGAAAUUUCUCAGACUUUUAAAAAAUUUUUCAUUACUGACAAAAGAUGGAGCGAUAAAAAGAUUCUUAGUACACUUCCUAUUAUUGCCAAUUCUAUUAGUAAUGUAUACUGCAUUACAACUUCUAUACAAGCAGUAACUCAUUUGCUCCUCAUAAGAACCCUAUGAGAGAUGUGGUUUUACUGUCAUCAUUUUAGGAGCAAAUUAAGGCACAAAGAAGUGACUUACCCAAGGUUACACAGCUAUUAUCUGGUGGAAGCAGGAUUUGAACCCUGGCAAUUGGGCUCCAAAGUCUGAUCCUUUGUCUAUAAUGUUGACAAAAACUUGUGGAUGUUGUGGUAAAUUGCUUUCUCUCCAUUUGAAAUCCCAUUGAGUUGAAGAGAUAGACGCAUAGUGAGUAUACGUCCCAAGGAAAUGUAUUAUAUUGUUUUCUGGGUUUCAGUUAAUUCAAAUAAAAUAAAAAUAGUGAAGC
rnacentral:lncRNA from 10 species